rnacentral:rRNA from 1 species
GAUGAACGCUAGCGGCAGGCUUAAUACAUGCAAGUCGAACGGCAGCGGGUCCAGCAAUGGAUGCCGGCGAGUGGCGCACGGGUGCGUAACACGUAUGCAACCUACCUUUAACCGGGACAUAACCUCGAGAAAUCGUGGCUAAUAUUCCAUAAUAUCUUUGAAUCGCAUGGUUUGAAGAUCAAAAUUCCGAUGGUUUUAGAUGGGCAUGCGCGACAUUAGCUAGUUGGUGAGGUAAUGGCUCACCAAGGCUACGAUGUUUAGGGGGUCUGAGAGGAUGACCCCCCACACUGGUACUGAGACACGGACCAGACUCCUACGGGAGGCAGCAGUAAGGAAUAUUGGGCAAUGGGCGCAAGCCUGACCCAGCCAUGCCGCGUGCAGGAUGACAGCCCUACGGGUUGUAAACUGCUUUUAUACGGGAAAAAACCCUCUGACGUGUCAGAGGCUGAUGGUACCGUAAGAAUAAGCAUCGGCUAACUCCGUGCCAGCAGCCGCCGUAAUAC